CCAAGGCACAUUCUAUUAUUUCUAUCUUGCGCCAUACUUGCGCAGUCAUGCCGCAAUUCUCCUCUCCUCUUCACCGAAAUUUUUCUUCUCAAACCAUACGAAAAUUAAGCUUGUGUUCAAUUUUGCUUUAUCAUCAUCCUCUUUGUUAUUAACAUCAACCAUUCACAAAGAUGUAUGGCAAAAUGAAGCAGGGAGCGAGCUCAAGUGGAAAGUGUUUCCGCUCAUAUGAAAAGAAGGAUUUUUAUGCCACCUUGGUCGACAAAGGAGUUAUUCUUGAGAGGUAUUUUGUUUUUCCGUUAAGAUAACCUCCCCAAUUUGCAAGAGCGAUCCAAGAGAGGGUUUGACAGAAACUUGCUGGAAAACAAGACUUGGGUUGCGAGGAUGUGGUAAAGGAAUUUUAUGAAUAUGCAUGGGCUGAUGAUACUCUUGUUGAGUUUGAAGAACCUAUCUACACAUCGUGGUAUAGAGAAACCAAAAUAGAUUAUAAUCCUUAAGUCAUCCAAGAACUUCUAGAGCUUCCUACCAUAUAUCCUUACCAAGGAAAAAAAAAAAUUCCUAUUAUGAAUUAUUGGUAUGACCUCCACAUGCUUUAAUUCUUGAAAACAUAGCUUAUACAUGGAGUUAUUUGCGAAUC